ACAUGGAUGCUCAUGACUACAUUUGUGCACACUCSGCAUAGAGGCUGGGAAGAAGAUGAGUGUGAAAGAAAAUAGAAAAAAGAAAAAAGAAGCUGACUUUGGGGAAGGUCUGAGACGCAGUGGAUUCUGGRAGACUCCUAUUCAGGCUUUGUAAAAUAGGUCAGAAACUGACCCAGACACAGAGGAAUGUGGAGGAAUCAUCUUUCAACAACAAUGUAUUUGCCUGUGCAAAAAAAAUAACAUAUUUAUUUUACGCAAAUGUCAAAUAAAGCAUAUAUUUUAUAA